GAUGAACGCUAGCUACAGGCUUAACACAUGCAAGUCGAGGGGAAACGAUAUUGGAAGCUUGCUUCUGAUAGGCGUCGACCGGCGCACGGGUGAGUAACGCGUAUCCAACCUGCCCAUCACUUGGGGAUAACCUUGUGAAAGUAAGACUAAUACCCAAUGACGUCUCUAGAAGACAUCUGAAAGAGAUUAAAGAUUUAUCGGUGAUGGAUGGGGAUGCGUCUGAUUAGCUUGUUGGCGGGGUAACGGCCCACCAAGGCGACGAUCAGUAGGGGUUCUGAGAGGAAGGUCCCCCCACAUUGGAACUGAGACACGGCCCAGACUCCUACGGGAGGCAGCAGUGAGGAAUAUUGGUCAAUGGGCGAAGCCUGAACCAGCCAUGCCGCGUGAAGGACUAAGGCCCUACGGGUCGUAAACUUCUUUUAUAAGGGAAUAAAGUGAGUCUCGUGAGACUUUUUGCAUGUACCUUAUGAAUAAGGACCGGCUAAUUCCGUG
rnacentral:rRNA from 1 species